GGUCCACUACCUCGUAUACAUUCGACCUUUGUGCUGUCAUUAAAUGUAAAGGUUUAAACAGUUCAUGGCGGGGAUAUGAUGUCUGGGUAGGUUAUAAUCCAAUGGUAGAUAUAGAGUGUAAUAAUCAGAAGCUUGUGUGGCAGGAUGAAUGUUAUCCCUCAGUCCAACCCACUUUCAGCCUGGCGCAUUAGGGGGCGCUAGUAUAAAUAGUGGCCAUUCGAGUGUCCCUGGAUCGCUUGCCUGUGACCUCCUUUUUGGUCACCUGACUUCCUGUUGGUGUUGCUGAGAUUAGUUGCGGGUUACUUUUUUGAAGCCUCCAUCGCAGCUGGUCGUAGCUGUAGAAGCCUCCUCUGAGCCAUUCUGCUUACGUUUUAUGACACGGCUUACUUGGUACGUAAUCAACUUCUGUUACGCUCUCUGCCUUCUGUUGUUCUUUUAUAGUAAUUAUUUAUUAUGCUUUGCAGGAAGUGUGGGCCUUAGUUUUGCGCCAAGCUACGCAAACUGAAGGGCUGCUGCUUUGCUUUGCUGUGCUUUUACCGUCUGUUCCCGUUGCGAGAUUUCUUUUCCUGCUGCUGCCAGCUUUUACUGUGGACGUCGGCGUGGACAGCGGCCAUAUGCCCGCCGGUUAUGGGAGUCAGCUGGCGUGCAUAUUGAUUGACCGUUAACUUGUAGUCGUGCAGACGGCAAGUUGGAGCAAUACGGUGAUUCCGUUUGCUCCAGAUUUUAGAGUUUUAUCCAGAUUGUAUGUUGUUUUACUGUUGUUUGUUUUGUAGUUUGGAUUUUUGUUACGCCACUGGUGGGAGGCCCUUUUUCUAGCUGUAGAUCACCAGUGUGGUCCUGCAGUUGGGUUAUCCCCCAGCGCUACACAUUAGUUUGUUGUGAUAUAUUAAAAUUUUCUUUGUUUCUUUUAUUCAGAUGCGGAGCGCCGACGUGGAGGAGACUAGGGUGCCUUGGUGGUGGGAUCCUUUGCGUGUACACACCUGCCUUGUUUAGUUUAUUAGUGUGUGUGUGUGUGUGUGUGUGUGUGUGUGUGUGUGUGUGUGAUAGUGUGCUGCACUUGUGUCUUGGUGUGUUUUCUUUUUUAGUUUGUGUGUGGCAUCCCUGCCCCUCCACUGGUAAGCCUCAGCUCUGAAUACCUUUUUAAGCAUAUUUGUAUAUGAAUAUUUAUGAUUGUGCUUUUAUAUGGUGUUUUAAAUAAUUAUUAAUAAAUUGUUAAUUUGUUUAUCAUUGAACCUCGUCUCUGUACUGAGUAUAGCGAACCUAAGUGCCUUUUUGGUGAUUUACUGUUACUUCCAGUAUUCUCUGGGUGAAAUUCCCAGGGUGGCGUUGUCUUUUUAAAACUGUGAAGAGUAUUUACUUUAUUUCCACCUCGUGCUGCCACACUUGGCUACCCCUAUCACGCUUAUUGGAAGGGCCCGUGUGAGUACUGGUCUACCAUAGUGGAGUAUUCUGGCACGUGGCGCCCGUACAAGGACACCACGUGGCAGAAGCUUGGGUUUCAGCGGGACUUCUCAGCUGGGCAGAACCCGUUGACCCUCUCACUGAAUGGUUGGCGUGACACUGUGUGGCCCGCUCGAUCCAUGGUGUACUUAUUCAUAGGAGUAGACGUCUUAGGGAAGGACCCAUACGGUCUGGUUAAAAUUAACUUUAGAGAUUCUGCACCUGAUGUGGCUGAAAUAAUUAACACCUCCCCCACCAUUGUCACUUUCAGAAUAGGGCUCACAAAUACUUGAGGUAGAUUAUACAAGACUCAAAGCUAAACAGCUCAUUUCAAUGGCCACUGGCUAUCGUGAGAGCAAUUUAUGGCUAGACUGGCUCAUCCAAAAUGCUAGGGAACAGAAUGUUUCAGAUUGUGUGGCGUGCGCACCUGCCCGCCCACGUCUUUUCACAGAACCAGCUCCUUUAUAUCCCGAAGACCAGUGGGGAUUUGAGUGCAUGCUCAGACUUACCAGAGAAGCGGCUUCUGAAGGUAAUUGUACUAUGUUAGCAAGUUUGUCUCCACCAAUAGGUAAUGAUACUGUGCUUGGUCUUUUCACACUGAGAAGAGCCAACUACACGUGUUUCGACUCUACGGUGUUUUUCCCUGACAAACAUGAGCAUGAGGCCGGGGAGAUUAAUGCUGAUUGGUGCACUGUUACGUACCUGGUCAGAGGAAAGCUGUCAAGAGACACCGGCACUGAAAUAGGCCUGUGGGCACGUGCUGGUUCGUAUUAUUAUUGUGGUGGGUACAGAUUGUAUGUUAGAAUUCCUAGUGGGACUUUUGGUCUCUGUGCCAUGGUACGUAUAGGUGCACCUCUCGUUUUAGUAGGAGAAAAGGGGAUGCGGCUGGCUAAGCCCGGCACCGCUCAACUGACAGCCACGUGCAGACGUCAUGUGUUGGCUAAACAGUCAUCAGGAUCGUUUGACCUUACAAUAGGAUCACCAACAUAUAUAGAUGCUAUUGGGGUUCCUAGGAGUGUGCCUAAAUGAAUUUAAGGUAGCAGACCAAAUUGCUGAAGGAUUUGAAAAGCUUCCCAUAAUUUCUGCAUUCUUUCCAGUAACUCCAAAUAAGAAUGUGGAUUGUAUCAAUUAUGUGCACUAUAAUGUAAUGAGACUGGCGAACUUUACCAGGGACGCGGUUGAAGGGCCUGCUGAUCAGUUGGGUCCAACAUCUUUAAUGGCAGUACAAAUCGGAUGGCGUUAGAUAUGUUGUUGGGAGAAAAAGGGGGCGUUUGCGCGAUGUUUGGGGAUAUGUAUUGUACUUUUAUUUUAAAUAACACAGCUCCAGGCAGCUCUGUGACCCGAACUCUGGAAGGCCUAAAGACGUUGUCCACCACGAUGUAUGAGCAUUCGGGAGUGGAUAACCUGUUGGAAGCGUGGAUGACCUCUGUCUUUGGGCAAUGGAAAGGUUUCAUUAUGUUAAUUAUGGUUUCUUUGUCUGUUUUUACUGCAGUAUUAGCGACGUGUGGGUGUCGUUGUGUGCCUUGUAUCAGAGCCUUGUUCGUAAGACUCAUCAAUCGUGCUGUGGGAGAAUCUGAUACAAAGGCAGACACCAUGUUGCCACUUUUGGGAAAUGGGGAGUCACAGUAUGAAAACAUUAUGGUGAAAGAUUUAGUGUAGUUUUAUCUGCCAUGGGGCAGAUAAAAAGGUGGAUUUGUAGGAAUGUUUAGCUUAUUUUAGAGUUUAGACAUGUGUUAAGAUAGAAUGUAGAAUUAUUGUAGAGACACUGACACUGCCCUCAAUAUAAUAAAGGCCUGAUUGUGUCGUGAGCUUAGAAGUAGAUUUGUAACUGGAUAACUGUGGUCUGGAGGGGAGAUGGUAUUUAUGGCCCCUAGGAAGAGACAUACCCACAGUGCUUAACUGAUAUACUCCCACACCUAUAUCCACACUCACUCACGUGCACGCACAUACCAGGUAUGCACACACAGUCACUCACGAGCACUCACAUAGACACGCGGGUACGCGCACACACAGUCAUUCACGUGCUCGUGCACAUAGACACAGA